GACGAACGCUGGCGGCGUGCUUAACACAUGCAAGUCGAACGGAAAGGCCCUGCUUUUGCGGGGUGCUCGAGUGGCGAACGGGUGAGUAACACGGGAGUAACCUGCCCUUGACUUUGGGAUAACUUCAGGAAACUGGGGCUAAUACCUGAUAGGAGCUCCUGCUGCAUGGUGGGGGUUGGAACGUUUCGGCGGUUGGGGAUGGACUCGCGGCUUAUCCGCUUGUUGGUGGGGUAGUGGCUUACCAAGCCUUUGACGGGUCGCCGGCCUGAAAGGGUAGCAGGCAUCCUUGGGACUGAGAUGCGGCCCAGACUACUAUGGGAGGCAGCAGUGGGGAAUAUUGCACAAUGGGCGGAAGCCUGAUGCAGCAACGCCGCGUGCGGGAUGACGGCCUUCGGGUUGUAAACCGCUUUCGCGUGUGACGAAGAGUGAGUGACGGUAAGGGGUAACGAAGGACCGGCUAACUACGUG
rnacentral:rRNA from 1 species